CCCGCACAAGCGGUGGAGCAUGUGGUUUAAUUCGACGCAACGCGAAGAACCUUACCAGGGCUUGACAUCCCCUGACCGCGUAUGAAAGUACGUUUUCACCCUCGGGUGACAGGGAGACAGGUGGUGCAUGGUUGUCGUCAGCUCGUGUCGUGAGAUGUUGGGUUAAGUCCCGCAACGAGCGCAACCCCUACGUUUAGUUGCUAACGCGUGAAGGCGAGCACUCUAGACGAACUGCCGUUGACAAAACGGAGGAAGGUGGGAUGACGUCAAAUCAUCAUGCCCCUUAUGUUCUGGGCUACACACGUGCUACAAUGGCCGGUACAGACGGAGGCGAAGCCGCGAGGCGGAGCAAAUCCGAAAAAGCCGGUCUCAGUUCGGAUUGCAGGCUGCAAUUCGCCUGCAUGAAGUCGGAAUCGCUAGUAAUCGCAGGUCAGCAUACUGCGGUCGAAUACGUUCCCGGGCCUU
rnacentral:rRNA from 1 species